rnacentral:rRNA from 1 species
UGCAAGUCGAACGAAGUAGCAAUACUUAGUGGCAGACGGGUGAGUAACAUGUGGGUAUCUACCCUUUGGCCUGGAAUAACACGAGGAAACUUGUGCUAAUACCGGAUAAGUCUUUACGGAGAAAGCUUUAUGCACCAUUGGAUGAGCCCGCACUUGAUUAGUUUGUUGGUAGGGUAAUGGCCUACCAAGACUAUGAUCAAUAGCUGAUUUGAGAGGAUGAUCAGCCACAUUGGGACUGAGACACGGCCCAAACUCCUACGGGAGGCAGCAGUGGGGAAUCUUGCACAAUGGAGGAAACUCUGAUGCAGCGAUGCCGCGUGAGUGAAGAAGGCCUUUGGGUUGUAAAGCUCUUUCGUCGGGGAAGAAAAUGACUGUACCCGAAUAAGAAGGUCCGGCUAACUUCGUGCCAGCAGCCGCGGUAAUACGAAGGGACCUAGCGUAGUUCGGAAUUACUGGGCUUAAAGAGUUCGUAGGUGGUUGAAAAAGUUGGUGGUGAAAUCCCAGAGCUUAACUCUGGAACUGCCAUCAAAACUUUUCAGCUAGAGUAUGAUAGAGGAAAGCAGAAUUUCUAGUGUAGAGGUGAAAUUCGUAGAUAUUAGAAAGAAUACCAACUGCGAAGGCAGCUUUCUGGAUCAUUACUGACACUGAGGAACGAAAGCAUGGGUAGCGAAGAGGAUUAGAUACCCUCGUAGUCCAUGCCGUAAACGAUGUGUGUUAGACGUUGGAAAUUUAUUUUCAGUGUCGCAGGGAAACCGAUAAACACACCGCCUGGGGAGUACGACCGCAAGGUUAAAACUCAAAUGAAUUGACGGGGACCCGCACAAGUAGUGGAGCAUGUGUUUAAUUCGAAGAUACGCGCAGAACCUUACCAACACUUGACAUGUUCGUCGCGACUCUAAGAGAUUAGAGUUUUCGGUUCGG